rnacentral:rRNA from 1 species
ACGCUGGCGGCACGCCUAACACAUGCAAGUCGAACGAAGUAGCAAUACUUAGUGGCAGACGGGUGAGUAACAUGUAGGUAUCUACCCUGUGGCCUGGAAUAACACGAGGAAACUUGUGCUAAUACCGGAUAAGUCUUUACGGAGAAAGCUUUAUGCACCAUUGGAUGAGCCUGCACUUGAUUAGUUAGUUGGUAGGGUAAUGGCUUACCAAGACUUUGAUCAAUAGCUGAUUUGAGAGGAUGAUCAGCCACAUUGGGACUGAGACACGGCCCAAACUCCUACGGGAGGCAGCAGUGGGGAAUCUUGCACAAUGGAGGAAACUCUGAUGCAGCGAUGCCGCGUGAGUGAAGAAGGCCCUUGGGUUGUAAAGCUCUUUCGUCGGGGAAGAAAAUGACUGUACCCGAAUAAGAAGGUCCGGCUAACUUCGUGCCAGCAGCCGCGGUAAUACGAAGGGACCUAGCGUAGUUCGGAAUUACUGGGCUUAAAGAGUUCGUAGGUGGUUGAAAAAGUUGGUGGUGAAAUCCCAGAGCUUAACUCUGGAACUGCCAUCAAAACUUUUCAGCUAGAGUUUGAUAGAGGAAAGCAGAAUUUCUAGUGUAGAGGUGAAAUUCGUAGAUAUUAGAAAGAAUACCAAUUGCGAAGGCAGCUUUCUGGAUCAUUACUGACACUGAGGAACGAAAGCAUGGGUAGCGAAGAGGAUUAGAUACCCUCGUAGUCCAUGCCGUAAACGAUGUGUGUUAGACGUUGGAAAUUUAUUUUCAGUGUCGCAGCGAAAGCGAUAAACACACCGCCUGGGGAGUACGACC